rnacentral:rRNA from 1 species
CCCCUAGACGUUCUGGGCUGCACGCGCGCUACAAUAAUACGCACAGCGAGUAUCACCGAGCUCGAAAGGGCAAGGUAAACAAUAGAAAAGGUACUGUAAUGGUUAUAGAUCCUUGUAAUUAUUGAUCUUCAACGAGGAAUUCCUAGUAAGUAUGUGUCAUCAUCACGCACUGAUUACGUCCCUGCCCUUUGUACACACCGCCCGUCGCUCCUACCGAUUGAGUGAGCCGAUGAAACUGCCGGAUGUGGACUAUUCAUAGCCCGCAGAAGAGAUUUGAAUCGUAGCGCUUAGAGGAAGGAGAAGUCGUAACA